rnacentral:rRNA from 1 species
AUUGAACGCUGGCGGCAGGCCUAACACAUGCAAGUCGAAUGGUAACAGGAAACAGCUUGCUGUUUCGCUGACGAGUGGCGGACGGGUGAGUAAUGUCUGGGAAACUGCCUGAUGGAGGGGGAUAGCUACUGGAAACGGUAGCUAAUACCGCAUAACGUCGCAAGACCAAAGAGGGGGACCUUCGGGCCUCUUGCCAUCAGAUGUGCCCAGAUGGGAUUAGCUAGUAGGUGGGGUAACGGCUCACCUAGGCGACGAUCCCUAGCUGGUCUGAGAGGAUGACCAGCCACACUGGAACUGAGACACGGUCCAGACUCCUACGGGAGGCAGCAGUGGGGAAUAUUGCACAAAGGGCGCAAGCCUGAUGCAGCCAUGCCGCGUGUAUGAAGAAGGCCUUCGGGUUGUAAAGUACUUUCAGCGGGGAGGAAGGGAGUAAAGUUAAUACCUUUGCUCAUUGACGUUACCCGCAGAAGAAGCACCGGCUAACUCCGUG